rnacentral:rRNA from 1 species
UGGGGAAUAUUGCACAAUGGGGGAAACCCUGAUCCAGCCAUGCCGCGUGAGUGAAGAAGGCCUUCGGGUUGUAAAGCUCUUUUGUCCGGGAGGAAAUCCUGACCCCUAAUACGGGUCGGGGAUGACUGUACUGGAAGAAUAAGCACCGGCUAACUACGUGCCAGCAGCCGCGGUAAUACGUAGGGUGCAAGCGUUAAUCGGAAUUACUGGGCGUAAAGCGUGCGCAGGCGGUUUUGUAAGCCAGAUGUGAAAUCCCCGAGCUUAACUUGGGAACUGCGUUUGGAACUGCAAGACUAGAGUGUGUCAGAGGGGGGUAGAAUUCCACGUGUAGCAGUGAAAUGCGUAGAGAUGUGGAGGAAUACCGAUGGCGAAGGCAGCCCCCUGGGAUAACACUGACGCUCAUGCACGAAAGCGUGGGGAGCAAACA